AUGAAUGCUGCUGCACAAAGGCUGCUGUUCUCUGAGCAGCUGAGUGAGCUCCUGCCUGACUCAGAGGCUUUUGCUCAGCCCUUUAGCUCUGCAGUUUGUGGCAGUUUUCCCCCUGUUACCCUGUGGCCAGGCUGCACUAACCCUGUGUCUGUUCUCAGGGCAAAGGAGGAUGGGGAGAGGCUCCUUUCCACAGCUGAGCAGCACAGAAACAUUUCUGCAAGCUUGGAGCAAAGGGAUGUUACCUGGGAGGAAGCACUGAGCACUUCUGGGCAGGCAAGGAUCCAUUGCAAAGCACAUCCAGAAAAGGAAGACCUUUAUUCUUUCUUACUCAUGAGAAAUAUCUGUCAAGUCAGUGAGUGGUUUGAUUGAAUGAGAGCAGUGAAACUGCUUUCUAUGGUGGAAGAUUUUUAAAAAGAGAGGAACACGGAGUCCCUUAGGCAUUUACAGUGUUUGGAAAUGACUGUCUUACCUGGAACUCUGGGUCACUUCUCAGCUCAGGUUCACAG
rnacentral:lncRNA from 1 species